AGUUAUAUGCUUGUCUCAAAGAUUAAGCCAUGCAUGUCUAAGUACACACGAAUUAAUAGUGAAACCGCAAAAGGCUCAUUAUAUCAGUUAUGGUUCCUUAGAUCGUUAACAGUUACUUGGAUAACUGUGGUAAUUCUAGAGCUAAUACAUGCAAUUAAAACACGGACCUUAUGGAACGUGUGCUUUUAUUAGGCUAAAACCAAGCGAUCGCAAGAUCGUUACAUUGGUUGAACUCUAGAUAACAUGCAGAUCGUAUGGUCUUGUACCGACGACAGAUCUUUCAAAUGUCUGCCCUAUCAACUUUUGAUGGUAGUAUCUAGGACUACCAUGGUUGCAACGGGUAACGGGGAAUCAGGGUUCGAUUCCGGAGAGGGAGCCUGAGAAACGGCUACCACAUCUAAGGAAGGCAGCAGGCGCGUAAAUUACCCACUCCCAGCUCGGGGAGGUAGUGACGAAAAAUAACAAUACAGGACUCAUAUCCGAGGCCCUGUAAUUGGAAUGAGUACACUUUAAAUCCUUUAACAAGGACCUAUUGGAGGGCAAGUCUGGUGCCAGCAGCCGCGGUAAUUCCAGCUCCAAUAGCGUAUAUUAAAGUUGUUGCGGUUAAAACGUUCGUAGUUGAACUUGUGCUUCAUACGGGUAGUACAACUUACAAUUGUGGUUAGUACUAUACCUUUAUGUAUGUAAGCGUAUUACCGGUGGAGUUCUUAUAUGUAAUUAAAUACUUGUAUUUUUUUAUGUAUUCCUCCUAUUUAAAAACCUGCAUUAGUGCUCUUCAUCGAGUGUUAUUGUGGGCCGGUACAAUUACUUUGAACAAAUUAGAGUGCUUAAAGCAGGCUUCAAAUGCCUGAAUAUUCUGUGCAUGGGAUAAUGAAAUAUGACCUCUGUUCUGCUUUCAUUGGUUUUCAGAUCAAGA
rnacentral:rRNA from 1 species